GUCGAUUAAUGUGCUUAUGCAGUCGGAGUGUAUUUGUGUGUGUGUGUCAUUGAAGCACACUUAUAAGGUGCUAGGAAAGUGGACUGAGGGGUGUGUGUGUGUGUGUGUGGGUGUGUGUGUGUGUGUGUGUGUGUGUGUGUGUGUGUGUGUGUGUGUGAGAGAGAGAGAGAGAGAGAGAGAGAGAGA